AAGCGGCAAAAGCUCAAAUUUGAAAUCUGGCUCUUUCAGGGUCCGAGUUGUAAUUUGUAGAGGGUGCUUUGGCGUCGGCUACGGCCUAAGUUCCUUGGAACAGGACGUCACAGAGGGUGAGAAUCCCGUACGUGGCCGCUGGCCUUCGCCGUGUAAAGCCCCUUCGACGAGUCGAGUUGUUUGGGAAUGCAGCUCUAAAUGGGAGGUAAAUUUCUUCUAAAGCUAAAUAUUGGCCAGAGACCGAUAGCGCACAAGUAGAGUGAUCGAAAGAUGAAAAGCACUUUGGAAAGAGAGUCAAAAAGCACGUGAAAUUGUUGAAAGGGAAGCGCUUGCAGCCAGACUUGCCUGUAGUUGCUCAUCCGAGCUUUUGCUCGGUGCAUUCUUCUGCGGGCAGGCCAGCAUCAGUCCGGGCGGUCGGAUAAAGGCCUCGGGAACGUAGCUCUCUUCGGGGAGUGUUAUAGCCCGUGGUGCCAUGCGACCAGCCUGGACUGAGGUCCGCGCAUCUGCUAGGAUGCUGGCGUAAUGGCUGUAAGCGGCCCGUCUUGAAACACGGACCAAGGAGUCUAACAUCUAUGCGAGUGUUUGGGUGUCAAGCCCGGGCGCGCAAUGAAAGUGAACGGAGGUGGGAAC
rnacentral:rRNA from 1 species